GGCUUUUGCAAUUAAAAUGGCAUGGUUUUAUUUCAGUUAGCCUAAUAGUGGUCGGAUUUGCAUUGACAGAUGAUUUUAUGUGAAGUACCCAAUGCCAAUCUCUAUGUAUAGUGAAGGGUAUGUAAUGAUGUGGGGGGAGGGGAUAUUUUAAUUCCAAAGGCCAAA